rnacentral:lncRNA from 1 species
GUGCCCCUCUAAUUAGGCUGGCCCACGGAACCCCCGUCACUGCAGUGCCCACUUUAUAAUCCACCAACCAAUAAAAUCACAAUAGUAUGACAUGGCUCACUUAACACAUUCAAGGCAAAUCAAAGCAGUUCACAUAUUCUUAAAAUCAUAAAAAUAACCAGUCAUACCCACAUUUAUCAUAAGCCAUUUAAUGUAAAAUCAUGGAUAAACAACACAAUCAUAGUAUAGGUCUCCAAUUACUCUAUUUUUGAAAUCAUUAUUAAAUUUUCAAAAAUUUUAUAAAAUUAUUUUAUAAAAUCCCAUUUUCCCAUAAAACACAAUAAUUUUCCAAUUAAACCAUUUUUCCAUAAAAUCACACAAUUAAAUAAAUCUACUCUAGAUAAUUAAGACGAUAGUAAGUUUACUCACUGUUCUAGGAGUCGAUAUACUCCUAUUUUCAGUCCGCGGGUACAGUCCUUUACCCGUAUCUAAUGGCUCACCACCUAGCCAUAAUCCAUGGCACAUAUUUCAAUUAAAUUGUGUCUAACAGUCAUAAGCUAUUUCAGGCUCGAUAUAUAUGCAUGAUAUGAAAUGAAAAAUGCACAGGUAGCCAUCUAGACCCGGUAUUGACCUAAGUCGAUUUUUCAUCCAAUAAAUUGGCCAAUGCGUCCAAUUUCACUCCAACUUUCUCCAUUUCUUUUCCAAUCCCUCAAUUCACCAAGCACAACUAAUUAACACACAAUUAGGCAAAUUUAUCUUCACUUUUCUUUUUGGAACUUUCGGCCAUUGAAGGUUCAUGGGGAAAAUGGAUUCUUUUCUUGUUGUUUUGUUUCUAAACAUGUUUAACUAACUCUAAACACCAACAUAACUCAAAAUCAAACAAUUCCAACAUCUUUCUCUCUCCAUACCCAUUUUGACCAGCCAUAAUUUCAUCAUGAAAACAUGUAAUUUAACCAUGGAAAUUAAGGAAAAAUGCAUGGGUAAGGUAAAUCACUAGCAAAAUCAAAGAAAUUUUACCUUUGCUUGAUCAAAUCCUUGAAUUCCAACACUUUCUCUUUGAUUUUUCCCACCUAGGGUUUGUUCUUCCUUGGUUUCUCUUCUCUUCUG